rnacentral:ncRNA from 1 species
CCCUUGGAGCGUUAUAUCAAACAAAAGUAAUUAGUUGAUUUAUUUUAACGAUGAAAUUGGACGCGUUAAAUAGGGAA